AUUAAAGUAGUUUAUUGAACAUUGUGUUGAAGCCACAAAAGAGAAUUUUUAAUUCCUUUAAUA
rnacentral:tRNA from 1 species